rnacentral:rRNA from 1 species
UAAGGAGGGCGCAAGCGUUGCUCGGAAUUACUGGGCGUAAAGCGCGUGCAGGCGGUCGAGUAAGUCGGUUGUGAAAUCCCCAGGCUCAACCUGGGAACUGCAUCCGAAACUGCUCGGCUAGAGUCUCGGAGAGGGAGGCGGAACUCCCAGUGUAGGGGUGAAAUCCGUAGAUAUUGGGAAGAACACCGGCGGCGAAAGCGGCCUCCUGGACGAUGACUGACGCUGAGACGCGAAAGCGUGGGGAGCAAACAGG